GCUAACGUAGCUUAAUCAAAGCAUGACACUGAAGAUGUUAAGAUGGCCCCUAAAAAGUCCCGAAAGCA
rnacentral:tRNA from 2 species